rnacentral:tRNA from 1 species
GCGAUCGUGGCGAAAUUGGUAGACGCGCAGUGUUGAGGUCGCUGUGGGGCAACCCUUGGAAGUUCAAGUCUUCUCGAUCGCACCA